CCACCCGGAGUAAUCAUCUAGACGAUACUCUAAAUAGGCCCGGCUCGGCGCAGGAUGGCCGGAACCUCUAAUUGUCACCAUAUAGACGAAAACAACCAGACAUGUAAGCAGUAUUAUGAGAACAAGCAUUGCAAUGAGGUAGGUAAUAAGCAGCCAUGGAAUCCUCCAAAACCCUCCAAUGAAUCCAGCAAGUGCUACCAGUAAAAUAAGAACCCCUAGAAUGAUUACUGGCCACUGUAGAAUCUUCACACAAGAAUUAUCAGGUUCUGUUGCAAGCCAGAUUCCAGCACCAAUGAUUGGAAUUGAAAGAAGCAUAGCAACAAAAUUAAAAUACCAUUAUUUUGAUUUGGCCCUGUAGUACCUCCUUGGUUUGAAGUAGAGGGACCAGAAAGCGACUCCACCCCUUGAUUCGAAUUUAGGACAGAGGGAUUAUGUCCCACAAUUGUCCUAGUUUGAAAGUGGUUUGUAAGAAGUAUAGCCGGUUGACAUAUUUGGCCUACUAACUUAUUCAUUGUUUCGUUUAACGUCUUUAGCUGUUUGGCCAUAUUGUCAUAGUGUGCGUUUCCAUUUUGUGUAAAUCUUUCCAUAUUAUGAAUACUUCGAAAAUUUACCUGUUCAACGACGUCUUGCGUGAGUUCUCCAAGCAAUGCACGCAUGGUUCGAGGACUCAACUCCGUCAUUGGUUCGUAACGACUGUUACUGCUCUGAUUUUGUCCAUCUGUUCGUGGAGAGGCAUGCUGCUCCCAUAUCGCUCGAUUACAGACUGGAUUCCUCCCUGAAUUGCUCCUUCCUUGUCGGAUCUCUGAGGCAUAUUGUUUCACCUUUUGUAUUUUCAACACCUAACACCACUGUCCCACUGGGCGUGCUAAAUUGUUUCACGCGGGUUAAGUCGCUAACAAUUAAAAAGCGUCAGACGAUUGUGUAAGGGACGAAACCUCUUGAGACAAAGUCCCAAAAAGGGGUGUUCUUUUAUUGGUGAUGGACUUUACAAUUGGGAAUGAAAAACAACGUACCUCCAAGGGGCGCAAGCACACGAGUUACAGAAAAAUGUUUAAGUCUAAAAGUUAAGGAAAUGAAAAUUACAUAUUCUCUGCUCGAGAGUUUUGGAUUCGGUCCUUUGCUUCUGCGUCCUUUCUCCCUUUUAUACCUCAUAGACGAACUCUUCGUGAUUAACUACCCUGAAAACUGCUUGAUCGUCCUAUAACUUCCCACUUUCUUUGUAGUGGCCAUUUUGUCAUGAAACUACCUCUUAACUGCUGCCAUUAUCUUUCAUCGUUCAACUGCUUUCGAGUGAAUUCCUUGAGUCGUGGAACGUGAUAAUGCUACUUUAACAACUGCCUUGAUAACUGCAUUCCUUGAAAAUCACGAUGCGUUAUAUUUGUUGAUACCUUGGGCGACUUGAAGGUUUGGGCGAGAGUGGAAUAACAGCUCUGGGCGACCGUAUGACACUCCAUUCGUUCAGAUUAUGGGCGACUCGCAAAUUUGGGCGAUGGUGUCACCGCAUUCUUGGGCCCCUUAUUUGGGCCUUCACCUUGAUUCGUUUGAUUGGACUUCGUUCUUUGGGCUAUCCGAUUUGGGGAUCCUUCAAUCGGGCUUUAUUCCUUGGGCUGUUCGAUUUGAAUUGAAUUUUUAUGUGUCAACAGGAGUAUGACCGUAUGAUUCUUGGCAUUUAAACAAUAAUUCUUGAACACGUUUCCAUUUAAAUCAUCACAGAUAUUUCCUUUUAAUUGAAUCACACUACAUAAAUUGACUUGUAAUGAAAUUGCAACUUUACAAAAGAAGCCUUAAGGUAUACGAGAUAUUUGGUACUCAUUCCCAUUUUUCAAUAGAAAAAUUCGUCUAGCAUUGCCCUUUAUUUUUAUUAUUAUAUAUUUUAAUGAAUAAUGACACUUGUAUAUAAUGAAAUUAUAUAAUUAUUUACAUACAUACAAUACGUCAAAAAGAAAGUUGAGAAGAUCCUUUUUUUUUUUUUUUUUUUUUUUUUUUUUUUUACUUUUGGUUAAAAAAGAUUUAAUCCAAUUAUAUUUCGCAUCAUGUGUAUAUAAAUCAUUAUGUAAACUAUUAUGUAAAUAGAACAUAAUCGUAUUUUAACUUCAUAACUUAUAUCGUCAAGACGAUUAUAUAUACAUGGUAAAAUAGCGUGAGUAUUAAUGGGUGGUAAAAAUUACUUUAAGUACAUUUAUACUUAUAAGAUUAAGUUAAAAAUUACUUUAAGUACAUUUAAAAUAAUUUAUAAACAAAAAAUUCUCAUUUUUAAAUUGACUUUAUUCUUAAACUUACCUAAAUAUGUCCAAUGAACAUGUGGCCGAGCUUAAAAGGUUUGUCUACUCAAUUUUUUUUUCAAAUUUUACGGAAAAAAAUCUUGAAAAAAAAAAAAUUUGUCUCUGUGCAAAAUUUCCCUUCAAAUACUUUCCAUUUUAAUUAUCGGAACUGUUUCUCCUACCCACUAAUUUGACGAGUGUAUUUUAACAAAUAAAUAUGACCUUAAUUUAAUAAAAUCCAACGCUGAAUUUUUUUCUAUUAAAAUACUAUGGAAUUCAUAAAACAAUAUCCAAACACUCCUAAUUAACUUAUCAAUCCCUAAAAUAUCUCAAUAACCAGCUUGAUUUUGUGUCUAUCUUAUUUCAUUCUCCAUCCUUUCAUGUUCUCUCUAGCACAAUUGAAUUUCCAAACCACCGCAUCAUUUCUCAAAAUCCAAAUCAUGGGUGGAUCAAAACAAUUUACAAAAACCUGUGAUGGAAAACCCAUCUUACGAAGGAUCGUCAAGAACCCAACCUAAGGGCUAAGCCCCCAUUUGGUAACAAAUUUUCACCCAAAAAAAUAAUUUUUUGACUGUUAUUUCAUUAUUUCAACUGUAAUAUUUGACUUCUUCACUCACAGAUAGAAUUCAAUUAAAUCUCUAAUGGACAAAAAAUCAAUUUUUAUAAUCACUGCUAAACAUGCCCUAAAAGUUCAAGUGUCCAGCAGCAUUCCAUUUCAUGUCAAAUUAGUGGUAUAUUAAUAUUAAAUUACUCAUUAUUUCCAAUUAAUUCCCUUCUAAAGCAUACGGCGUCGUUUAGUCCAAAAUUUUUUUUUUUCUUUGAACAAAUCGGUUUUUUUUUUUUUAAAAUAUGUUUUUUUCAAAUAUGUUCAAUUUCAACUCUGCAAAAUUGGCAGAGCAUAAACCCUAAACCCUAAUGCUAAUUCAAAAGCAUAACUGCAGAACCCCGAAUACCCAGAUAGACAUCUUGAUUUUCUUCUUUGAUAUGCUCUUCAAUUGCAUAAAAUGUUCUCUCUCUCAAGAAAAUCAAACCCUAAAACCCUAAUCCUCUGGUCCCACCUUCAAUUCACAGUCUCAAUNAGGUAGGUAAUAAGCAGCCAUGGAAUCCUCCAAAACCCUCCAAUGAAUCCAGCAAGUGCUACCAGUAAAAUAAGAACCCCUAGAAUGAUUACUGGCCACUGUAGAAUCUUCACACAAGAAUUAUCAGGUUCUGUUGCAAGCCAGAUUCCAGCACCAAUGAUUGGAAUUGAAAGAAGCAUAGCAACAAAAUUAAUCGCACCGAUAAUAUUAUUACUUAGUGCCAUCUUGAGGAAAAUUAGAUUAAUUUUCUAUUGGUUUGUUGCUAAGAGAAUAGGAAAGAUGAAAUAUUGGGGAUAGAAAAAUGAACUUAAGAUUAAGUUUUUGAUAUUCUGCCCACUACUUAGGGUUCCUUACCUUGGAUACUUGAAAGGUACUAUAGCAUAAAAUAAUGAUAUGUAAAGGGCUUUUUGUUCUCUUUGUCAAAAUUUUCAGUCACUUUUUCAAAAGGUAACAGGAUGCAACGAAAGCAAAUGUGGAAGAAAGAAAAA
rnacentral:lncRNA from 1 species